rnacentral:rRNA from 1 species
GACGAACGCUGGCGGCGUGCUUAACACAUGCAAGUCGAACGGAAAGGCCCUGCUUUUGUGGGGUGCUCGAGUGGCGAACGGGUGAGUAUCACGUGAGUAACCUGCGCUUGACUUUGGGAUAACUUCAGUAAACUGGGGCUCAUACCGGGUAGGAGCUCCUGCUGCAUGUUGGGGGUUGGAAAGUUGCGGCGGUUGGGGAUGGACUCGCGGCUUAUCAGCGUGUUGGUGGGGUAGUGGCUUACCAAGGCAUUGACGGGUAGCCGGCCUGAGAGGGUGACCGGCCACAGUGGGACUGAGGUGCGGCCCAGACUCCUACGGGAGGCAGCAGUGGGGAAUAUUGCACGAUGGGCGGAAGCCGGAUGCAGCAACGCCGCGUGCGGGAUGACGGCCUUAGGGUUGUAAACCGCUUUCGCCUGUGACGAAGCGUGAGUGACGGUAAUGGGUAAAGAAGCACCGGCUAACUACGUG